rnacentral:rRNA from 1 species
GAUGAACGCUGGCGGCGUGCCUAAUACAUGCAAGUCGAGCGAACGGACGAGAAGCUUGCUUCUCUGAUGUUAGCGGCGGACGGGUGAGUAACACGUGGAUAACCUACCUAUAAGACUGGGAUAACUUCGGGAAACCGGAGCUAAUACCGGAUGAUAUUUUGAACCGCAUGGUUCAAAAGUGAAAGACGGUCUUGCUGUCACUUAUAGAUGGAUCCGCGCUGCAUUAGCUAGUUGGUAAGGUAACGGCUUACCAAGGCAACGAUGCAUAGCCGACCUGAGAGGGUGAUCGGCCACACUGGAACUGAGACACGGUUCAGACUCCUACGGGAGGCAGCAGUAGGGAAUCUUCCGCAAAGGGCGAAAGCCUGACGGAGCAACGCCGCGUGAGUGAUGAAGGUCUUCGGAUCGUAAAACUCUGUUAUUAGGGAAGAACAUAUGUGUAAGUAACUGUGCACAUCUUGACGGUACCUAAUCAGAAAGCCACGGCUAACUACGUG